rnacentral:rRNA from 1 species
GAUGAACGCUGGCGGCGUGCCUAAUACAUGCAAGUCGAGCGAACAGACGAGGAGCUUGCUCCUCUGACGUUAGCGGCGGACGGGUGAGUAACACGUGGAUAACCUACCUAUAGGACUGGGAUAACUUCGGGAAACCGGAGCUAAUACCGGAUAAUAUAUUGAACCGCAUGGUUCAAUAGUGAAAGACGGUUUUGCUGUCACUUAUAGAUGGAUCCGCGCCGCAUUAGCUAGUUGGUAAGGUAACGGCUUACCACGGCAACGAUGCGUAGCCGACCUGAGAGGGGGAUCGGCCACACGGGAACUGAGACGCGGUCCAGACUCCUACGGGAGGCAGCAGUAGGGAAUCUUCCGCAAUGGGCGAAAGCCUGACGGAGCAACGCCGCGUGAGUGAUGAAGGUCUUCGGAUCGUAAAACUCUGUUAUUAGGGAAGAACAAAUGUGUAAGUAACUAUGCACGUCUUGACGGUACCUAAUCAGAAAGCCACGGCUAACUACGUG